CAGAAUGCAUACACUACAACUGCCAUUAAUGGGACAGAUUUUUGUACAUCAGCAAAAGAUGCGCUCAAACUCUUAUCCAAGAAUUCAAGUCAUUUUACAUCUGUUAACUGCUUUGGAGACUUCAUAAUUUUUCUAGGAAAGGUGUUAGUGGUGUGUUUCACAGUUUUUGGAGGACUGAUGGCAUUUAACUACCACCGUGUGCUUCAGGUGUGGGCAAUCCCACUGCUCUUGGUUGCUUUUUUUGCCUACUUAGUAGCCCACAGUUUUUUAUCUGUGUUUGAAACUGUGCUGGAUGCACUUUUCCUGUGUUUUGCUGUUGAUCUGGAAACAAAUGAUGGAUCCUCAGAAAAGCCCUACUUUAUGGACCAUGAGUUUUUGAAUUUUGUAAAAAGGAUCAACAAAUUAAACACAAGGGCACAGAGAGACAAGAGCUCAUUAACAAGCGAAGAGGGAACAGAACUCCGGCCAUUGUGAGAUAAGUGCCCAUCAGUUUUAGGUUUCUCAUGUACAAGAUGGAGACAAUACCACCUACUUUGGAUUAGGGAGAAGAUUGGACACAAAGAAUAGAAAAACAAGGCAUAAUGCUGGCAUACCGGAAAGUUAUACCUGAAUGCCUACUAUGACCAUACAUGCUAUCCAGGUUACCAAUUUCAAAAGUCUGUAAUACAUUUAACAAAAAUCACACUGAUGGAAUAGGAAAUGGCAACCCACUCCAGUAUUCUUGCCUGGAGAAUUCCAU